UAGUCGCACACCAACCAAAGACUAAACUAAGGCUGCUAUUGAGGAAGAAGGAGAGGCUAACGAGAUAGGGGCGACAAAGCGAGGGGAUUGAGCUUUUCUCCUAGCGCAAGAGUUUUCGUCGCUGGAUUAAUUUAAGAAACUAAAGAGGAUAUUUAAAUAAGAUUCUUUUGUUUCUCUUGCUUCAUUUUUUUUGUUCUAAUUUGAUAGCAAACUCCCUUUACCACAUUUUGCUGCUAAUAGAGGAGGCUAAUCCCAUGAAACAACUUUGAACCAGGCAUAGCAAACAAGAGAGUAGAAUAAAAACAUAACGCAAACCUUGAAUAUGUUUGCAACAUAGUUAACAAGUAGCACAGGCAGAUGAAUCUGAUUCAUUCCUGCAUUCAAGUAAUCACAUUAAAAAGAGUCAAGAGAGACCAUAACAAUAUAUAUAACAUAAACUUGCUUAUCAUUUUUAUAGCAAUUGUUUGUUGUUUACGGCGUAAUUAACCAGUAGCACAUGGAUGAUAAUUUGAACUUUGAUUAUCAUUUUUAUGCUACACUAAUGAGAAUUUGAACUUCGAUUAUCAUGUUCUUAAAACUAAUAUACAAUCAAAAUUAUUUAAUAAUAAGAAUAUUCUGCAGUGUAUCAAAUUUGUAUUGAAUGAGAAUAUCUUGUUCAUUGUGUUCUACGGGUUAUGAUACGAGACACAAAUCGUUUUGGGGCUGAUUGUGGCUGGUUGGACUUGUGAAAAACAAACUUAUUUUCUGGAGUCAGGUGAAAAACACCGUGUAUUUGGUUGAUUAGCUUUGAUAACGUUGGUUCAUUGCUUGUAAGAUAGUUUUUUGACAUGUGUUUUCCUUAUCAACAUGCAAAUCAUUUUGGGCAGAUUGUAGUCG
rnacentral:lncRNA from 1 species